rnacentral:lncRNA from 1 species
AGGACUGGACGUAGGCACGGGAAGUGGCCGAACCAGUAUAAAUCAGUUUGCAUUUCUCUCUUCCCUUAAACUUCUUUUAUUUAUUUCUAUUUAUCUUUGGCUUGAAAGAAGUUUAUUUUGAAUUGUCUUUUGAGUAAUUCAUGUUAAGGGUGCAUUGUUAAUCUAAAAAGAGAGAGUAAAAUUUUAAUUGGGGAAUAGUUCUUGUUAUCUUAAUU